rnacentral:rRNA from 1 species
AGUGAACGCUGGCGGCGUGCCUAAUACAUGCAAGUCGAACGGAGUGGAGCACGGGUGAGGAAUAUAUAGCUAAUCUGCCCCUUGCUGGAGGACCACAGUUAGAAAUGAAUGCUCAUAAUCCAUAGCAAUGGAUGAGGAUAGAGCGCAUCAGAUAGUCGGUGGGUUAACGGCCUACCGAGGCUAUGACGGGUAACUGGGCUGAGAGGAUGAUCAGUCACAUUGGAACUGAGACACGGUCCAAACGCCUACGGGAGGCAGCAGUAGGGAAUAUUGCGCAAUGGGGGAAACCCUGACGCAGCAACACCGCGUGGAGGAUGACACUUUUCGGAGCGUAAACUCCUUUUGUUAGGGAAGCGGUACCUAACGAAUAAGCACCGGCUAACUCCGUGCCAGCAGCCGCGGUAAUAC